rnacentral:lncRNA from 1 species
GCCUUAGCCCAAUACAGUAUCAGUGUGGGCUUUAGCCCAAUACAGUAUCAGUACAAUGCAGUAAUGCAACCCAUCCCAACCCAGCCAACACACCACUCCGUACCAUCAACUCACCAUGUGAGGAUAAAAUCGACCCACCCAACCAACACACUAAUAUCGCAGCAAAUCCGCUAGUAAUAGUAUCGUAGCGGAGCUGUCAGUAACAGUAUCACAGCAAAGCUGCCAGUAUUAGUACAGUAUACUUUCUCCAUUACAAUAUCUC